UAUACGAAUAAAACGGCACCAAGU
rnacentral:siRNA from 1 species